UACGUAGGGGGCGAGCGUUGUCCGGAUUUACUGGGCGUAAAGCGUCCGCAGGUGGUUGUUCAAGUCCGGUGUGAAAGCCCCCCGCUCAACGGGGGGAGGUCAUCGGAGACUGGGCGACUGGAGGAUAGCAGAGGAAGAUGGAAUUCCCGGAGUAGUGGUGAUAUGCGUAGAGACCGGGAGGAACACCGGUGGCGAAGGCGAUCUUCUGGGCUACUCCUGACACUCAGGGACGAAAGCGUGGGGAGCGAACAGG
rnacentral:rRNA from 1 species